UCAAGGGUGUGGCGGCUGCUCGUUGGCCGGGUGUGUCUGGGCAGGGAGGGAGCCUCCUCCUGUUUCUUAAAAGCAGAGGACGAAAUUCCUACCUGGAGAGUGUCCUCCCUCAUCCAGAUGAUGCUGAUCUUUCUUCUUCCUGCUGGUGCCACAGGCUGCGUGGAGAGGGAGCCGCAGAGAGCGCCCCCUGCAGGGCCCGCCCCCCCUUUUCUCCCCGGAAAGAGCAGGAGCCAGAAAAGAAAACAAGAAACCAGAGCAGGGAGGCCGCCCGCCCCCCCCCCCCCCCAUGUCUUGAGCACAUCAUCUCGCCCAUCUGAACCAUAGUUUUCUGCGAGGCAAGGAGAAGAAAGGUUUUCAUCGCAGGGCUCUUGUAGCGAAUACCGUCCUGGGUGGAGAUGCCUUGCCAAGCUUAUAAAGGGAUCAGGCGCCCAUGCAUCACUCUCUUCCACGAAGGUGUCCGAUGUGAUUCGACAAUUCACUGCAUUUCUCAGGACUCAUCACGUUUCUCGCUGGUCGUUGCUGCAGGCCACCUUGCAGUCCUGAUGAGAACCAAAAGGCCGUCCCGACCACAGCAUUGGUUAUCCGUUAGGCCGAGACCAGACACAAAAUACCCAUCGGUCCACAUAGCUCUUUUCAUCCCGUAGAACCGAAACUCUGCCCCCUCAAACGCCCGCUCCCCACAACUCCCUCCAUAGCCCCUGGCCCCCACCCGCCGCCCACCCACCGUCUGCUUUUCGUCUUUAUGAAUGUGACCAAGUUCCGCAUCUAAGCGCAAUCGUGCGGUAUCUUUCUCUUUCGUGACUGGCCUAUUCCCGGAGCAUAAUGCCCUCAAGGUUCAAUCCAUGUUGCAGCAGGUGUCCGGCUUUCCUUGCUUUUUAAGGCUGAAUAAUAUCCCACCGUGUGGGUGGACCGUGUUUUUCUCACCCGUCCAUCCUUGGAUAUUCCACUCUUUGGAUGUUGUAAUGCUGCUCUGAACACGGGAAUACAAAUAGCUCUUGGAGACUUCUCUUUCUGUUAUUUUGUGUGUAUACCCCCAAGCAGAAGUGCGGGGUCGUGUGGUAAUUUUUUUUUGCCCGAUGGUCACCUAUAUGUAAAUUUUUGAGGAACCGCCAUACUGUUUUCCACAGCAGCUAGAUGCUAUUGAUGAGGAAGCAUAAGGCAGGCUGAGUACAAGCCAGCACCCACCCCCGCCCCCCAGGUGGGAUCUGUGUGAUAUUCCUCGGACACUCCUGGCUACCCAAGAACAAAGGAAAGGGGUUUAAGUGCUUGCCAUGUGGGAAACUAAGGCAAGUGAAAAAUUAA